rnacentral:rRNA from 1 species
UGCUGACCAGCUAGCCCACCCUAACAAAAACAACAACCCAAUAUAAAUAACCCCAAACACACUACUCCUCCUAUAAACAAACCAUUUUACCCCCCUAGUAUGGGCGACAGAAAAGGAACUAUUGGAGCGAUAGAGAAAGUACCGCAAGGGAACGCUGAAAGAGAAAUGAAAUAACCCAGUAAAGCCUAAAAAAGCAGAGAUUUUACCUCGUACCUUUUGCAUCAUGAUUUAGCUAGUACUACCCAAGCAAAGAGAACUUUAGUUUGGACCCCCGAAACUAGGUGAGCUACUCCAAGACAGCCUAUCAAUAGGGCAAACCCGUCUCUGUGGCAAAAGAGUGGGAAGAGCUUUGAGUAGAGGUGACAGACCUACCGAACCUAGUUAUAGCUGGUUGCCUGAGAAUUGGAUAGGAGUUCAGCCUCCAGGCUUCUCUAUUCACCGCGGUCUUACCCCUACCGAUGCACUAAAGAAGCCUAGAGAGUUAAUCAAAGGGGGUACAGCCCCUUUGAGACAAGAUACAACUUUUCCAGGAGGGUAAAGAUCAUAUUUACCCAAGGUAACAAUGCCCAGGUGGGCCUAAAAGCAGCCAUCCUUACAGAAAGCGUUAAAGCUCAAGCAUUACACCUUCCCACAUAUUCAGAUAACCAUAUCCCAACCCCCUAAUAUUAUCAGGCCAUCUCAUGCAUACAUGAGAGUGCACAUGCUAAUAUGAGUAACAAGAGAGCAUCCGCCUCUCUCCUUGCACACGUGUAAAUCGGAACGAACCCCCACCGAAACUUAACGGCCCCAAACAAAGAGGGCAAUGAACAACAAGUAAGCAACCAGAAAACCAUCCAAAAAACAACCGUUAACCCCACACUGGUGUGCCAUUAAGGAAAGACUAAAAGAAAAAGAAGGAACUCGGCAAACAUACCAAGCCUCGCCUGUUUACCAAAAACAUCGCCUCUUGCAAAAACAAAGAAUAAGAGGUCCAGCCUGCCCUGUGACUAUAUGUUUAACGGCCGCGGUAUUUUAACCGUGCGAAGGUAGCGCAAUCACUUGUCUUUUAAAUGGAGACCUGUAUGAAUGGCAUUACGAGGGCUUAACUGUCUCCUUUUUCUAGUCAGUGAAAUUGAUCUCCCCGUGCAGAAGCGGGGAUAUAACCAUAAGACGAGAAGACCCUAUGGAGCUUUAGACACCAAGGCAUAUCAUGUCAAACACCCCUAAACAAAGGACUAAACCAAAUGAAUCAUACCCCCAUGUCUUUGGUUGGGGCGACCGCGGGGAAAUAAAAAACCCCCACGUGGAAUGGGAGUACUACCUCCUACAACCAAGAGCUGCAGCUCUAAAAAACAGAAUAUCUGACCAAUAAGAUCCGGCAACGCCGAUCAACGGACCGAGUUACCCUAGGGAUAACAGCGCAAUCCCCUUUUAGAGCCCAUAUCGACAAGGGGGUUUACGACCUCGAUGUUGGAUCAGGACAUCCUAAUGGUGCAGCCGCUGUUAAGGGUUCGUUUGUUCAACGAUUAAAGUCCUACGUGAUCUGAGUUCAGACCGGAGUAAUCCAGGUCAGUUUCUAUCUAUGAUAUGUUCUUUUCUAGUACGAAAGGACCGAAAAGAAGAGGCCAAUGCUAAAAGCACGCCUCACCCCUCCUAUUGAAAACAACUAAAAUAGGCAAAAGGGCAUACCCCUCCACGCCCAAGAUAAUGGCAU